ACUCCGGUGGUCUAAGAUGGACUCGCGUCCCAUUAGCUAGUUGGUAGAGUAAAAGCCUACCAAGGCGACGAUGGGUAGCCGGCCUGAGAGGGUGAACGGCCACAUUGGAACUGAGAAACGGUCCAAACUCCUACGGGAGGCAGCAGUGGGGAAUAUUGCACAAUGGAGGGAACUCUGAUGCAGCGACGCCGCGUGAACGAAGAAGGCUUUCGAGUCGUAAAGUUCUUUUAUAUGGGAAGAUAAUGACGGUACCAUAAGAAAAAGCCCCGGCUAACUACGUGCCAGCAGCCGCGGUAAUACGUAGGGGGCUAGCGUUGUCCGGAAUCACUGGGCGUAAAGGGUUCGCAGGCGGAAAUGCAAGUCAGAUGUAAAAGGCAGUAGCUUAACUACUGUAAGCAUUUGAAACUGCAUAUCUUGAGAAGAGUAGAGGUAAGUGGAAUUUUUAGUGUAGCGGUGAAAUGCGUAGAUAUUAAAAAGAAUACCGGUGGCGAAGGCGACUUACUGGGCUCAUUCUGACGCUGAGGAACGAAAGCGUGG
rnacentral:rRNA from 2 species